rnacentral:rRNA from 1 species
AUGGGCAACCUGGUGUCGGCGAGCGCGGGCGGCGGCAAGAUCGUGCUGCCGGACGGGAGCGUCCGGGCUUUGGGCGAGGCCGUGUCCGUGGCCGAGCUCAUGGUGGAGCACCCGCGCCACUUCGUCGUGGACGCGCGCCUCGCGGCGGCCGGCGCCGCCAAGGUCGCCGCGCUGCCGGCCGACCACCUGCUGGACGGUGCCGGGGUGUACGUCGUGCUCCCGGCCACCCGGGGCAGGGUCUCCGCCGACGAGGCCCGGCGAGCGCUCACGGCGUCGCGGCUGCUUGCGCGGUGCCGGUCGAUGCCGGUCAGCGCACAGGAGCAGCGGGACGAGGCGGCGCCGUUGCUGGGCGGGCCCGGUGGCCACCAGCCGGAGUUCCUGAGCCAGGAGCUGACGCGCAGCGGGCCUUGGAAGCCCAGCUUGAAGACGAUCGAAGAGCGCGUGCUGCCGAGGAAGGUGCCCCACUGGCUCUUCUGA